rnacentral:rRNA from 1 species
ACGGGAGGCAGCAGUGGGGAAUAUUGCACAAUGGGCGAAAGCCUGAUGCAGCUAUGCCGCGUGUAUGAAGAAGGCCUUAGGGUUGUAAAGUACUUUCAUCGGGGAGGAAAAAACAAAACUAAUAAUUUUAUUUCUUGACGUUACCCGAAAAAGAAGCACCGGCUAACUCCGUGCCAGCAGCCGCGGUAAUACGGAGGGUGCUAGCGUUAAUCAGAAUUACUGGGCGUAAAGAGCACGUAGGUGGUUUUUUUAAGUCAGAUGUGAAAUCCCUGGGCUUAACCUAGGAACUGCAUUUUGAAACUGAAAUACUAGAGUAUCGUAGAGGGAGGUAGAAUUCUAGGUGUAGCGGUGAAAUGCGUAGAUAUCUGGAGGAAUACCUGUGGCGAAAGCGGCCUCCUAAACGAAUACUGACACUGAGGGUGCGAAAGCGUGGGGAGCAAACGAGGGAUUAGAUACC